CAGAAACCUGUCUGGCUGUCAUUCUUUGUUCCCCCUGACCCUUCCCUUCUAGGUUCUUUGGUGACUGCAGCACAUUGGGGUGUGAGCUUGCGUGAUUCCCUGAAUGAAGGUCAGGGCAUUUCUGGCGCCCAAACGUGGGGCUCCACCCUCUUAGGACGUGGACCCGUUGACUCUGCAGAGGAUCCUCGACCUUUUUCCUAAGCGACCACAGUCUUGCCCACGCAGAGGAGGUGAAAUUUGAUCGCAUCCUUCUGAGGACUUUUUCCCUUUAAGAAGGUUCUGCCUGUGUCCUACAUUCUGUAGAAAGAAGCUUUGAAAUCCAGCAUUCACCAAGAAGUCUACAAGAGAAGUAGCCAGAAAUUGGAAGCAACCCAGAUGCCCCUCAACUGAAGAAUGGAUGAAGAAAUGUGGUAUAUUUACACAAUGGAGUACUACUCAGUAGAAAACAGCAAUGGAAUCUUGAAAUUCGCAGGCAAAUGGAUGGAACUAGAAGAAACCAUUGUGAGCAAGGUAAC
rnacentral:lncRNA from 1 species